rnacentral:rRNA from 1 species
CCUACGGGAGGCAGCAGUGGGGAAUAUUGGACAAUGGGGGCAACCCUGAUCCAGCCAUGCCGCGUGAGUGAUGAAGGCCUUCGGGUUGUAAAGCUCUUUUGGCGGGGACGAUGAUGACGGUACCCGCAGAAUAAGCCCCGGCUAACUUCGUGCCAGCAGCCGCGGUAAGACGAAGGGGGCUAGCGUUGUUCGGAAUUACUGGGCGUAAAGCGCGUGUAGGCGGUUUGCCAAGUCGGGUGUGAAAGCCUUGGGCUUAACCCAAGAAAUGCACUCGGUACUGGCAGACUAGAGGACCGGAGAGGAUAGUGGAAUUCCCAGUGUAGUGGUGAAAUACGUAGAGAUUGGGAAGAACACCAGUGGCGAAGGCGGCUAUCUGGACGGUUUCUGACGCUAAGACGCGAAAGCGUGGGGAGCAAACAGGAUUAGAUACCCUGGUAGUCCACGCCGUAAACGAUGGGUGCUAGACGUUGGCGAGCUGUCUCGUCAGUGUCGCGAGCUACGUACGUAACGUACACCCCGCCCGUCGGGACGGUACGGCCGGCCGAGGUUAGUAACGUACGAAACGUAAAGUUAGUACGGCGUGAGAACGUGCCGAACGGACGACGACGAGGGGAGGUUAGG